CCCUUGCAGUGAUGUAUCGUAGUCUGUUGCUGUAAACAUCCCCGACUGGAAGCUGUACCUGCUCCAGCUUUCAGUCAGAUGUUUGCUGCACCUGGCUAUGCCUGGACAACAGCAGAAGG
rnacentral:pre_miRNA from 12 species